CCUGGGCUCACUCACUGAAUUAUGAAGCAGGGCCAACUUCCUCUAGAAAACUUGCAUCCCUGCCACUGACUCCCAACUUUCAUCUCUGCUCUGUGCCUGCCCAUGGAGUUGCUUCAGCACUGAAGAGCAAGUUAGAUGGAGAUGCCAGGAACGCUGCCUUCACCUCAUUUGAUGGGUUACUACUAACCCUGCUACAUUUAUCAUGGCCUAUGAGGAGGAUAUCUUGAAAGAGCAUGGCUCUCCUUCUCUAGGGAAGUAUACCAGAGGACGCCAACAUGUUCACAAGGUUUGUGACCUUCCUGGUGCCCUGCCACCCUUCUCUGAAAAAACAAGAAAAGAAUGCUUUGUAUCAUGAAUUCAGUUUUAAAAAGGCAAAGGAUCCUGGACUGUAGAAAGCAAAGAAAAGUGGGCUGAGCUCUAGCAUGCAGCCAUCAUUUCUCUCUAUUCCUGAGCAUGGACACAAUGUGACCAAAUCCUUCAAGCUCCAGAUGUGGAAAUUUCCAAUUUAUGAUGUACUGUAGCCUGGAUCUAUGGACCCAAAUAAAUUCUUUCUUCCUUAUGCUGCUUUUG